AACCUGAUCCAGCCAUGCCGCGUGAGUGAAGAAGGCCUUCGGGUGUAAAGCUCUUCGGACCGGGAAGAAAUCGCAUGGGUGAAUACCCUGGUGUGGAUGACGGUACCGGAACAAGAAGCACCGGCUAACUACGUGCCAGCAGCCGCGGUAAUACGUAGGGUGCGAGCGUUAAUCGGAAUUACUGGGCGUAAAAGCGUGCGCAGGCGGUUUGGUAAGACAGGCGUGAAAAUCCCCGGGGCUUAAACCUGGGAACUGCGCUUGUGACUGCCAGGCUAGAGUACGGCAGAGGGGGGUGGAAUUCCACGUGUAGCAGUGAAAUGCGUAGAGAUGUGGAGGAACACCAAUGGCGAAGGCAGCCCCCUGGGUCGAUACUGACGCUCAUGCACGAAAGCGUGGGUAGCAAACAGGAUUAGAUACCCUGGUAGUCCACGCCCUAAACGAUGUCAACUAGGUGUUGGGUGGGUAAAACCAUUUAGUACCGUAGCUAACGCGUGAAGUUGACCGCCUGGGGAGUACGGCCGCAAGGUUAAAACUCAAAGGAAUUGACGGGG
rnacentral:rRNA from 1 species